GUCUUUGAUGGUGAUGACAAAUUUUUUUUCCCCGGCAUAACGAUAUUUGCUGAAUGACUUCAGAAAAGCCAAUUUUGGCUGAAUCAAAGAC